GGAAUUUUCCGCAAUGGGCGAAAGCCUGACGGAGCAAUACCGCGUGAGGGAGGAAGGCUCUUGGGUCGUAAACCUCUUUUCUCAGGGAAGAAAAAAAUGACGGUACCUGAGGAAUAAGCAUCGGCUAACUCCGUGCCAGCAGCCGCGGUAAUACGGAGGAUGCAAGCGUUAUCCGGAAUGAUUGGGCGUAAAGGGUCCGCAGGUGGCGAUGAAAGUCUGCUGUUAAAGAGUCUAGCUCAACUAGAUAAGAGCAGUGGAAACUACAUAGCUAGAGUACGUUCGGGGCAGAGGGAAUUCCUGGUGUAGCGGUGAAAUGCGUAGAGAUCAGGAAGAACACCAGUGGCGAAGGCGCUCUGCUAG
rnacentral:rRNA from 1 species